AAGGAUUUAAGUUAAGUAAACUUUUAGCCUUCAAAGCUAAGUAUAGAUUUUAUCUAAGCCUUA
rnacentral:tRNA from 1 species